rnacentral:rRNA from 1 species
GCAGUCGAGCGGACCGAAGGGAGCUUGCUCCUUUAGGUUAGCGGCGGACGGGUGAGUAACACGUGGGCAACCUGCCCUGCAGACUGGGAUAACUUCGGGAAACCGGAGCUAAUACCGGAUAACACCGAAAACCGCAUGGUUUUCGGUUGAAAGGCGGCUUUUAGCUGUCACUGCAGGAUGGGCCCGCGGCGCAUUAGCUAGUUGGUGAGGUAACGGCUCACCAAGGCGACGAUGUGUAGCCGACCUGAGAGGGUGACCGGCCACACUGGGACUGAGACACGGCCCAGACUCCUACGGGAGGCAGCAGUAGGGAAUCUUCCGCAAUGGACGAAAGUCUGACGGAGCAACGCCGCGUGAGCGAAGAAGGUCUUCGGAUCGUAAAGCUCUGUUGUCAGGGAAGAACAAGUACCGUUCGAACAGGGCGGUACCUUGACGGUACCUGACGAGGAAGCCACGGCUAACUACGUGCCAGCAGCCGCGGUAAU